GAGAUGCUGUUAUGUUCGUUAAGGUCAUUGUUUCAACCGAUGCGAUUUAUUAGGGAAUCCAAGAGAGGAAUGAAGAACAUUAUGCCUUGCAAGCGAGAGGAAAAUGGACGACAUUAUGCGGAUACCCACCUGUAGCUUUGCAGGUUGAGAAACAGUGAUAAGACGGCAUAAAUGGCACACUC
rnacentral:other from 1 species